rnacentral:rRNA from 1 species
AUGUUAGAGAUGCAGUCGCGGUCUGUUGAUGGCACUAAACCUGUCACGCAACCCGAGGAUGUGCCUCUUCAGCUUCUCCUGGAGGACCAACGUAAGAGGAAGAAGCAACAAGAUUUAGUCAAGAAGAGGGCGGCCCGCCUUGAGAAAGGUUCUGAUGUUCCUGGAUCUGUUCAUGCGGCUAAGCUCACUAUUGAGGAAGACGUGUCGUGUGGUAGUGAUGGCACGGUUGUCCCUGUUAAGAAGAAAAUCAAGAAGACUGCUGCGAGGAAGCUAGUAGUUGGUGAAGUUACUCCUCGGAAGAGCCCACAUGUUUCAAGGCCUGUAGAAGUUGUUGAAGAUGAAGGGUUAGGCCUUGGUGGUACGCCACGCCGUAGUCCUCAUGUGCUUGCCACUGCCGCGCCUACACCUUCUCCGCUUGGUGCUGGUGCAUCUGGUAAGGAGAAGAAAUGGGGCGUGAAGCGCAAGGUUCCACCUGCAAAGGUCAACAAGGGUGUGAAGAAGCGUUCUCGUGUUAAUCCAGAGGACAAGGAUGAUGCUGAUUUCAAUGCUGAUGAUGAGGAUGAUGUCGAUGAUGAUGCUGCCGCUAAUCAGUAUCAGCUUGUGGAGCGGCCUGAGAGGAGGAAGAGAGGAUGGAAAGCGCUCGAAGAAGGUGGCCAAGGAGGAGGUGUGUUUGACCUGAAGGUUGAUUCCAACAUUUCUCAUCCUUUGAUGGGUAACAUCUACACGAGGAUUGACCCUGCAACCAUGAUUCUGGACAUGGGUGAGGCGAACAAGGUUCUGCGUAUUACAAGUGAUGCUAUUCACCAUCUGUUUGGAUUCCCUCAAGGUAAUCGUACCCCUCCUAGGCCUUCGAGUGAUGGGUUUGAUGAUGCUGUUAUGAGGUUGAAGGGCAAGCUUGGGUACGCUAGGAGUGACGACAUCAAGACAAAGGAUCUGCGGAAUAUCCUCGCGGAUCUUGUGAAGGAUGAGACGAAGGAUGAUCUUGCUGUGCAGGUGUUUUACCUGAUUGUUUUCAUGAAGGUGGUUAUCCCUGGAAUGUCUACACGAGUGUCCAGGGAGGCAGCAAUGGCUGAGAAUCUUGUGUUUGAGGAUAUGGCAGAUAUGGACUACUGCCAGUUGGUUGUUGAUGACCUUCGAAGUGCUGUUGUUAGGUAUCAGCAAGGUACUAGCAGAGGAAAAGCUGUCACAGGCUGUGUCAUCGUGCCGCUUCUUAUGUACCUGGACUGCCUUAUCAUUGGCAAGACGCCUAAUGUUGACUUGAGGAUGCCUCGCAUCAAUUACAUGGAUCAAGCCAAGCUUCUUGAUCUCGUUACGGCUGACUUGGUCAGGAAAGGUCAUGACGACCCAGCCAACUGGGUGUUUGGGAGACUACAUUGGAAAACACAGGCUGAGGUUGUGUUCUUUAGGGUUAUCGAACGUCUUGUUCUUACUAUGCCUCGUGCCGCCGGCCUAGGUAGUGGAAGUUCUCUGAGAUUUGAAUUCUCGCGGGAUGUUAACACUGGUGCCCCCUGUAGAUCCAGGAGGUUCUUCUGCCCGUGACCUGAACUUCAAGUGCUUCAGCACCUAAACUUCUAUGACUUUGAUGACUGGCUCUUUUUGUACCUCUUUGUAUCUUAUGUUAGUUUGGUUGUUGAUGAUGGUGCUGGGGUUAGGGAGGAUGUUUUACCUGUGCAUGAAGAUGAUCUUGUGCAUGAAGCUGCCCUUGUGAAUGAUCCUUGCCCCUCCAGUGAUGUAUUAGUUGAUGAGGUUCAUGGCAAUGAAAAUAAGGGCAAGACAACUGGAGACAUCAUUUUGGAGAAAGAUCAUGUUGAUUCUGCUGUACAAACUGGUGGUAGUGCUGCUGCAUGCCCGGAGAAGUCUCUUGCAGCAGAGCCAUCAGUUGAUGUUGAUGUUGUACAGGCACAGCCAAAUGUUUUUCUUGUUUCAGAUUCUCCGGUUGCUCCAGCUGCUGCUGGUGUCCUUCUUGACGGGGCUGCAACGUCUACUGGAGAUGAUGAUGAAGAUACCGAAAGCGAUAGCUAUGGAGUGGAGGUUGAUCAUUCCAAUAGCAACCUUGCUGUCGUCCGAAAGAAGGUUGAUGACUUUUAUUACAGUGUAACUAGGCUUAGGAAUGAUCAUUCCAAGAGAUCAAUGAUUAUGUUCCAAAACAAGAAGUGUGAAGCUUCUGUUGAAGAUGUCGCAAUAUCUUUUGCUCCUCGCGGAAUGCUUCGGCCUAAUGUGGUUGAGGUUGCACUCUACUGUCUACGUGCAAAGUACCAGGGAUCAGACAAACUCAUCCUGCCGUAUUGGGUUUGUGUUGUUUUCCCUACUUUUGACCCACCUGAGGUUCCUGCUUCCCUGGGUGGUGUCGGUCAUUCGGUGUCGGUAUUCCUUGACCUGAAGAAUUCAAGGUUCCAGCUUCUCGAUUCCUACUACGGACCAAAAGAUGAAUGUGUGGUACGCCUGUUUCGAUGGAUGACCGACAACAUCAAGAGGCUUUGGAAGGAUGCCAGCAACGACAAGGAGACACCCUUCGGUCCAGUUAGCAUCGACAAUUUCCCUCUGGAUUGGAUUGAUGUCCCCCAGCAGCAAAACAAUAUGGACUGCGGAUUCUUCAUGCUUACGAAUGUUAAUUCGUAUCAUGACGGGGUUCUUGCAAAUUAUUCCCAUGAGAAUAUCGGGCAUAUCAGGAAGACGUGGCUGUACUCAACCGCUUCUUCUAACCUGUUUGAGACAGACUUCCAAUCUCUGUUUGCCUACUACACAUUGGAUCCGUUGGAGUUGACCGAUUACCACUACUCAUUCCUCGGUUACCCUCAUCUAUCCGAGGCCCGGAAGUUGAAACAGUAUGUGCUUAGUAAAGACAGUGUGGAGAAGUAUUCUGGGACAAGCUACUGCAUGUUUACCAUCGCUGGGAAUGUGAUUGACCUCACAGGAGAUUUCCUUUAUAGGAUUUUCAGUGAAGGGCAUCAGAUGGAAGGAGACAUAAUGGAUUAUCUCAUAAAUUUGUGGAAGGAUAAGCCGGAGACCUCUGAGAUAUUCUCUAAUGCUGACAGGGUUGUACUUAGUCCCUACUUCAUACAGAUGAAGAGAUUUGUUGGGUUGCUCGAGGAGGUGUACGGCAAGGCUGCAUACAAGGCGAGCAAGAAGCCUAACUGGGUGACUAUUGCAAAGAGGCCGAGUUUCAUCAAUGUUCCGAAGCAGAAGAAUAAUGAUUGUGGUUUGUUUGUCGUGAAGUUCAGCUCUUCGUAUGACGGCGAUGAGAUUGUUGAAGAUUUUUCUGAUGUGGAAGCUGCUGCAGAUGACUGGAAGGCUGAGUUCAUGCACACUCUGGUUUUUAGCGAGAAGAAUGAAGUCAUGCGUUUAGAGCUCCCUAAAGAGAUCCAGUCCUUUGGCCCAUGA